GGUCCUGUAGCUCAGUUGGUAGUAGCAUUAGACUAAUACUAAUCGGGAAGAAGCUCUUCCCCCCCGAGAUUAGUCACCUAAAGGUCCUGGGUUCGACCCCCAGCGGGACCA